rnacentral:rRNA from 1 species
CCUACGGGAGGCAGCAGUGGGGAAUAUUGGACAAUGGGCGAAAGCCUGAUCCAGCAAUUCCGCGUGUGUGAAGAAGGCCUUCGGGUUGUAAAGCACUUUAGUUGGGGAAGAAACAGCUUGGCCACACCAAGCCUUGACGGUACCCAAAGAAUAAGCACCGGCUAACUCUGUGCCAGCAGCCGCGGUAAUACAGAGGGUGCAAGCGUUAAUCGGAUUUACUGGGCGUAAAGGGUGCGUAGGUGGUUUUGUAAGUCGGAUGUGAAAGCCUGGGGCUCAACCUCAGAAUUGCACUCGAUACUGCAAGACUAGAGUUCGGUAGAGGGCGGCGGAAUUCCCGGUGUAGCGGUGAAAUGCGUAGAUAUCGGGAGGAACAUCAAUGGCGAAGGCAGCCGCCUGGGCCUGAACUGACACUGAGGCACGAAAGCGUGGGUAGCAAACAGGAUUAGAUACCCUGGUAGUCCACGCUGUAAACGAUGAGAACUUGACGUUGGUUCGUUUUACGAAUCGGUGUCGCAGCUAACGCGAUAAGUUCUCCGCCUGGGGAGUACGGCCGCAAGGUUGAAACUCAAAGNAGUGACGNGNGAGAGNGACGACGACGACGAGAGGAGAGG